rnacentral:rRNA from 1 species
CAUGCAAGUCAGGGGCAGCACAAGGCAGCAAUGCUGAGGUGGCGACCGGCGCACGGGUGCGUAACGCGUAUCCAACCUUCCCGGUUACUCUUGGAUAGCCUUCCGAAAGGGAGAUUAAUACAAGAUGGUGUUGAAAUUCCGCAUGUUAUUUCAACUAAAGAUUUAUCGGUAACGGAUUGGCUCGCGUGACAUUAGCUAGAUGGAGAGGUAACGGCUCACCAUGGCGACGAUGUCUAGGGGAACUGAGAGGUUAAUCCCCCACACUGGUACUGAGACACGGACCAGACUCCUACGGGAGGCAGCAGUGAGGAAUAUUGGACAAUGGAUGGAAAUCUGAUCCAGCCAUGCCGCGUGCAGGAUGACGGCCCUAUGGGUCUUAAACUGCUUUUGUAUGGGAGCAAUAAGUUCUACGUGUACGGAUGAUGAGAGUACCAUACGAAUAAGCAUCGGCUAACUCCGUG